UAUAUAUAAAUAAUGAGAAAAAAUGAAGUGUGUGGGACCCACGUAUAUAAAUAAUGAGAAAAUUAAAAAAUGUGGGGCCCAGUGUAGUAUAAAUAUAAAAAUAAGGAAAAAAUAGAGUAUGUGGGGGCCACUGCAUGGAAGUCGUGUACCCCGUCCACGACUUCACCUCAAAACACCUAUUUUUGAAAAUAGUUUUGCAACUACCCUAUUUUUGAAAUAUGUUUCAAAUUUUACAUUAUUUUUAAAAAAAAUCCUAAGAAGAAUGAAUAUCAUAUAAUUAGUAAGGGAUAUGGGUGGAAGAAAGCAUUGGGGGGGGGGGGGGGGGGGAGCUCCGUUUUUGUGAUUUAUAAAUUAAGCAGGAAUUGAUGUUGUUCACUUUGUGAAGUUGCAUUGUGUACUGUAUGCAUAUACGAGAAAUUGUUAUUAGAAGUACAUCUCAUUUUGCAAAAUACUUUAAUCAUGGCUAUUGAAACUUCAACCUGAAAUUCUCCUUGAUUUGAUCUUGGAUAUACUUUGUUCCUUUGUGCCGAUCUUAAUUUACUUCUAAACAUCAACAGAGGAUAUUAUAAGUUGAUUCAGUAAAACCAACAGAAAUAUAGACCCUUGUGGAAACCCAAUGCUUUCUUCCACCCAUAUUCAUUACUAAUUAUAUGAUCUUUAUUUUUCUUAACAUAUAUGUAUAAUUAAGGCUUUAAUAUAAUCACCAUCAUAUAUAGCUCUCAUCCAAAAUCUCAUAUGCUAAAGUAUCCUUUUUGUUUUCUUGAAAGACUUGUGUUCCUAGAUCUUGGAGUAUGGUUCUUAAAUUAGUUUUAUUUAAUGAUUUCAAAACUAAUUCAUACACAUCUGAUCAAGUUUUACUAUUACAUCGAGAUGACACAAAAAUCAUCUGCACAACGUGAUUGUGUCGAUGAGGUUGCUGAGGUUGAUGGAUUAAGAAGUGAGGGACCAUGGUCAGAAAAGAGUGAAACUAUGUUUGUAGACUUAAUGGAUGAAGAGGUUGCAAAAGGCAAUCGACCAACUACAACAUUUACAAAGACUAGUUGGAAUUAUAUAAGAAGCCAACCGAAUACUAGUAUGGGAUAUAAUUAUUCUUACGAUCAAUUGAAAAAAAGUUCAAUAAACUGAGACAAAUUUGCAAAGACUUCAAAAAGAUAUUGAGUGAUAUGACAGGAAAUGGUUGAGAUCCAUUAUUAGGCUCCAUCAAUCUUGAAGAGGAGCAAUGAAACGAGCUUUUUAAGGUGAAUAAGAGAGCUAAAAAGUUUAGAAAAAGUGGUUGCCCACAUUAUGAAAAGCUUAUGAGGAUUUUUGGAGAUACUACUGCAACAGGUGUAAAUGCUUGUCCAUCAACAAGACUUAUUUUAGAUUCUGAAAAUGAAAAUGAAAGUGAAAAUGAUGUUGAAGAGAAUGAUAAAUGAAAAGGCAGAAAAAGAGUUCGAAGAACUAGGAAAGACGAAUUCGACAGUUUCUUUUCAACAUUCAUAAAUGUAUAUGCAGAGAACGCCAAAAGAAAAAAUGACAUCCUUGAGAAAAAAUCUAUUGGUUGUACAUCUAGUCAAGUUGAUGAGAGCCACACAUCAACUAGGAAAGAUGAUCUCAUGAGUUGAUGAAAUGUUUGAACGUUUUAAAUACAAUGGAAGAUGUUGAUGGAGAGGCUUAUUCUAAAAUAUUGAAACUCUUGCACGAUGAUUUUGCUUGGAGAAAAAUAUUUUUGCGAAUGCCCGAUUCAAGGAGGAGAGAUUUCAUAAAUAGUCUCUAGACUGACCUUAGGGAUGUUUAGCCUUAGGGAUGGAUUGUGUAUGUUUGUACCUUAUGUGUUAUUUACUUUUUUAAUUUUCUCAUGAUUAUGAAUUAUUUUUUUUAACAUGGCUACGUUGUUUUUGGGAUGAAAUGAAUUUGUACGUUUUUUGUCUUUGAUUUAGAGAUAUACUUGUGAAUAGAAAUGGAUGUGAUUAAAGUCAA